rnacentral:piRNA from 1 species
CUGGAUGUCGAUGACUUUCUAGUGCAGUCAC